UACGUAGGGUGCGAGCGUUGUCCGGAAUUAUUGGCGUAAAGGGCUCGUAGGCGGUUUGUCGCGUCGGGAGUGAAAACCCAGGUGCUUAACACCUGGCUUGCUUUCGAUACGGGCAGACUAGAGGUAUUCAGGGGAGAACGGAAUUCCUGGUGUAGCGGUGAAAUGCGCAGAUAUCAGGAGGAACACCGGUGGCGAAGGCGGUUCUCUGGAACGCAACUGACGCUGAGACGCGAAAGCGUGGGGAGCAAACAGG
rnacentral:rRNA from 1 species